AACUUUCAACAACGGAUCUCUUGGUUCUGGCAUCGAUGAAGAACGCAGCGAAAUGCGAUAAGUAAUGUGAAUUGCAGAAUUCAGUGAAUCAUCGAAUCUUUGAACGCACAUUGCGCCCGCCAGUAUUCUGGCGGGCAUGCCUGUUCGAGCGUCAUUUCAACCA
rnacentral:rRNA from 1 species